rnacentral:rRNA from 1 species
AGCGAACGUUAGCGGCGGGCCUAACACAUGCAAGUCGCACGAGAAAAGGGCUUCGGCCCCGAGUAAAGUGGCGGACGGGUGAGUAACACGUGGACAACCUGCCUUCUGGCGGGGGAUAACAGUCCGAAAGGAUUGCUAAUACCGCAUACGUCGGCGAGACCGCAUGGUCUUGCCGGGAAAGCCGGCCACUGCAAGCAAGCUGGCACCAGAAGAGGGGUCCGCGGUCCACCAGCUAGUUGGUGAGGUAACGGCUCACCAAGGCAUAGACGGAUAGCUGGUCUGAGAGGAUGAUCAGCCACACUGGGACUGAGACACGGCCCAGACUCCUACGGGAGGCAGCAGUGGGGAAUAUUGGGCAAUGGGCGCAAGCCUGACCCAGCCACGCCGCGUGAGUGAUGAAGGCCUUCGGGUCGUAAAGCUCUGUGGGGAGGGACGAAACGCUGCGACCUAAUACGUCGCAGUCUGACGGUACCUCCUUAGCAAGCACCGGCUAACUCCGUGCCAGCAGCCGCGGUAAUACGGAGGGUGCAAACGUUGCUCGGAAUCAUUGGGCGUAAAGCGCACGUAGGCGGCCCAGCAAGUCGGAUGUGAAAGCCCUCGGCUCAACCGAGGAAGAGCACUCGAAACUACUGGGCUAGAGUACCGGAGAGGGUGACGGAAUUCCCGGUGUAGAGGUGAAAUUCGUAGA